ACCCAGGUGGUGAAAUUGGUAGACACGCCAGCUUGAGGGGCUGGUGUCCAUUGCGGACGUGCAGGUUCAAGUCCUGUUCUGGGUAC
rnacentral:tRNA from 1 species